rfam:Bacillus glycinifermentans strain GO-13 contig_27, whole genome shotgun sequence.
AAGAAAGGAACGGCGGCUAAUGGCUCAGGCGCCCAGCCUGAACGCCGCCGUCAUCAUGUCGUGUGGA